rnacentral:tRNA from 1 species
ACCGGGCUGGUGCAGCGGUCAGCAAAGCCGGCUUUGACCCGGCAGAGGAAGGUUCAAGUCCUUCGCCCGGUUCCA